CCUACGGGAGGCAGCAGUGGGGAAUAUUGCACAAUGGGGGAAACCCUGAUGCAGCAACGCCGCGUGAGUGAUGAAGUAUCUCGGUAUGUUAAGCUCUAUCAGCCGGGAAGAAAAUGACGGUACCUGACUAAGAAGCCCCGGCUAACUACGUGCCAGCAGCCGCGGUAAUACGUAGGGGGCAAGCGUUAUCCGGAUUUACUGGGUGUAAAGGGAGCGUAGACGGUGUGGCAAGUCUGAAGUGAAAGCCCGGGGCGCAACCCCGGGACUGCUGUGGAAACUGUCAUGCUGGAGUGCUGGAGAGGUAAGCGGAAUUCCUAGUGGAGCGGUGAAAUGCGUAGAUAUUAGGAGGAACACCGGUGGCGAAGGCGGCUUACUGGACAGUAACUGACGUUGAGGCUCGAAAGCGUGGGGAGCAAACAGGAUUAGAUACCCUGGUAGUC
rnacentral:rRNA from 1 species